rnacentral:rRNA from 1 species
AGCAGUGGGGAAUAUUGGACAAUGGGCGAAAGCCUGAUCCAGCCAUGCCGCGUGUGUGAAGAAGGUCUUCGGAUUGUAAAGCACUUUAAGUUGGGAGGAAGGGCAGUUACCUAAUACGUGAUUGUUUUGACGUUACCGACAGAAUAAGCACCGGCUAACUCUGUGCCAGCAGCCGCGGUAAUACAGAGGGUGCAAGCGUUAAUCGGAAUUACUGGGCGUAAAGCGCGCGUAGGUGGUUUUUUAAGUUGGAUGUGAAAUCCCCGGGCUCAACCUGGGAACUGCAUUCAAAACUGACUGACUAGAGUAUGGUAGAGGGUGGUGGAAUUUCCUGUGUAGCGGUGAAAUGCGUAGAUAUAGGAAGGAACACCAGUGGCGAAGGCGACCACCUGGACUAAUACUGACACUGAGG